UACAGAGGGUGCGAGCGUUAAUCGGAAUUACUGGGCGUAAAGCGUGCGUAGACGGUAGCGUAAGUCAGAUGUGAAAGCCUCGGGCUCAACCUGGGAAUUGCAUUUGAGACUGCUCUGCUCGGGUGCGGAAGAGGGAAGCGGAAUUUCCGGUGUAGCGGUGAAAUGCGUAGAUAUCGGAAGGAACACCAGUGGCGAAAGCGAGGUCCUGGACGUCUACUGACGCUGAGACGCGAAAGCUAGGGGAGCGAACGGG
rnacentral:rRNA from 1 species